UACGUAGGGGGCAAGCGUUGUCCGGAUUUAUUGGGCGUAAAGAGCGUGUAGGCGGCCAGGUAGGUCUGCUGUGAAAACUCGAGGCUCAACCUCGAGACGUCGGCAGAAACCAUCUGGCUAGAGUCCGGAAGAGGAGAGUGGAAUUCCUGGUGUAGCGGUGAAAUGCGCAGAUAUCAGGAAGAACACCUAUGGCGAAGGCAGCUCUCUGGGACGGUACUGACGCUGAGACGCGAAAGCGUGGGGAGCGAACAGG
rnacentral:rRNA from 1 species